ensembl:lncRNA novel transcript
CGUAUGCAGCGAAGGAAGUAACCAAUCAAUUUUUUAAUUUCCUUCUGUAAACGGGAGUGAAUCGGGGUGGAUUUGAAAUCUCAUUAGUCAAAACUUGCCUUGUUGAUCCAAAAUGAACCUCCCAAAACAUCACCAUCGUCAUGCCACACAUCAAGUCAGAAAUCUUCAUUUGUUUUCUCAUGGCUUCCAGAAGAGUCUGCAUUAAUACAUUAUCAUGUUUUUUGGGGGUGUAGCUAAAUUCUGUCUUCUUAAAAAAUAGAUAAAUAAAAAAUAACCUUCAA